GAUGAACGCUGGCGGCGUGCCUAAUACAUGCAAGUCGAGCGAACAGACGAGGAGCUUGCUCCUCUGACGUUAGCGGCGGACGGGUGAGUAACACGUGGAUAACCUACCUAUAAGACUGGGAUAACUUCGGGAAACCGGAGCUAAUACCGGAUAAUAUAUUGAACCGCAUGGUUCAAUAGUGAAAGACGGUUUUGCUGUCACUUCUAGAUGGAUCCGCGCCGCAUUAGCUAGUUGGUAAGGUAACGGCCUACCAAGGCAACGAUGCGUAUCCGACCGGAGAGGGUGAUCGGCCCCCCUGGAACUGAGCCGCGGUCCAGACUCCUACGGUAGGCAGCAGUAGGGAAUCUUCCGCAAUGGGCGAAAGCCUGACGGAGCAACGCCGCGUGAGUGAUGAAGGUCUUCGGAUCGUAAAACUCUGUUAUUAGGGAAGAACAAAUUUGUAAGUAACUAUGCACUUCUUGACGGUACCUAAUCAGAAAGCCACGGCUAACUACGUG
rnacentral:rRNA from 1 species